GCGAACUCGUUGCCGUCAGGUGUGGGAAUGCGGGGGGUGUAAGGGUUAUCUGGAUGUAUUGGGGUUAAAGGGUCCGUAGGGGGACCUGUAAGUCAGUGGUGAAAGCCUACAGCUUAACUGUAGAACGGCCGUUGAUACUGUCGGUCUUGAGUGUGGUUGAGGUAGCUGGAAUGAGUAGUGUGGCGGUGAAAUGCAUAGAUAUUACUCAGAACACCAAUUGCGAAGGCAGGUUACCAAGUCACAACUGACGCUGAUGGACGAAAGCGUGGGGAGCGAACAGGAUUAGAUACCCCGGUAGUC
rnacentral:rRNA from 1 species